GGAUAGAGGCCUACCAUGGUGGUAACGGGUAACGGGGUGUUAGGGCACGACACCGGAGAGGGAGCCUGAGAAACGGCUACCACAUCCAAGGAUGGCAGCAGGCGCGCAAAUUACCCAAUCCCGACACGGGGAGGUAGUGACAAUAAAUAACAAUACGGGGUUCUUUCGGAUCUCGUAAUUGGAGUGAGUACAAUUUAAAUCUCUUAACGAGGAGCAAUUGGAGGGCAAGUCUGGUGCCAGCAGCCGCGGUAAUUCCAGCUCCAAUAGCGUAUAUUAAAGUUGUUGCAGUUAAAAAGCUCGUAGUUGAAUUUCGGGGUUAGUAGGUUGGUCAUGCCUCUGGUAUGUACUGGUCUCACUGAUUCCUCCUUCCUUAUGAACCGUAAUGCCAUUAAUUUGGUGUUGCGGGGAAUUUGGACUGUUACUUUGAAAAAAUUAGAGUGUUUAAAGCAAGCUAACGCUUGAAUACAUUAGCAUGGAAUAAUGAAAUAGGACGUUCGAUCUUAUUUUGUUGGUUUCUAGGAUUGACGUAAUGAUUAAUAGGGAUAGUUGGGGGCAUUAGUAUUCAAUUGUCAGAGGUGAAAUUCUUGGAUUUAUUGAAGACUAACUACUGCGAAAGCAUUUGCCAAGGAUGUUUUCAUUAAUCAAGAACGAAAGUUAGGGGAUCGAAGACGAUCAGAUACCGUCGUAGUCUUAACCAUAAACUAUGCCGACUAGGGAUCGGAUGA
rnacentral:rRNA from 1 species